rnacentral:rRNA from 1 species
GACGAACGCUGGCGGCGUGCUUAACACAUGCAAGUCGAACGGACUGGCUCUGCUUUUGUUGGGUUCUCGUUUGGCGCACGGGUGAGUAACACGUGUGUACCCUCCCCUUUGCUUUUGGAUAACUUCCGGAAACUUCGGCUCAUACCCGAUAUGAUCUCCUGCUUCAUGUUGUGUUUUGUUAAGUUUCGGCGGUUGGGAAUGCACUAGCGUCUUCGCAGCUUGCUGGUGGGGUAGUGUCUUAUCAAGGCUUUGACGGGUAGCCGGCCUGAGAGGGUGACCGGCCACAGUGGGAAUGAGAUACGGCCCAGACUCAUACGGGAGGAAGGAGGGGGGAAUAUUGCACAAUGGGCGGAAGCCUGAUGAAGGAAUGCCGCGUGGGGGAUGACGGUCUUAGGGAUGUAAAACGAUUUCGCCAGUGACGAAGCGUGAGUGACGGUAAUGAGUAAAGAAGCAACGGCUAACUACGUG